AAAAAAAAAAAGUCUGGCUCAUUGGCCUUCUUAGCCGCAAGGGCGCAUGUGGCUCAUGGCUAACCUGUUGUCCACCAGGACACCCAGGUCCUUCUCUGCAGAGCUUAGUUCCAGCAGAUCAGCCCCUAAUCUGUACUGAUGCAUACAUUUAUUCUUCCCCAGGUGCAGAGCUCAGCACUUGCUCUUAUUAAACCUCAUAAUGUUCCUUCCUGCCCAACUCUCCAGCCUGUCCAGGUCUUGCUGAAUGGUAGCACAACCUUCUGGCGUGUCAGCCAUUCCUCUCAGCUUUUUAUCACCAGCAAACUUACUGAAGCUGGACUCUGUCCCUUCAUCCAGGGCACUGACGAAGAUGUUGAACAAGGCCAGACCCAGCACCAACCCCUAGAAAACACUGCUAAUUACAGGUCUCCAACCAGCCUCUGCAUUGCUGAUGACAACCCUUUGAGUUCUGCCACUCAGCCAGGUUUCAAUCCACCUCACUCAUCUGUCCCACACUUCUUAAGUUUCAUAACAAGGAUGUUGUGGGAGAAGGUGUCAAAUGCCUUGCUAAAGUCAAGGUACACUACAUCCACUGCUCUCCCCACCAGUGAUGACAUCAUAGUGAUGAUCUACCCAGCCAGUGAUGACAUCAUAGAAGGCUAUCAUAUUGGUCAAGCAUGAUUUCUCCUUGGUGAAUCCAUAUUUCUGUCCCUGAUAACCAUCGUUUCUUCCAGUUGCUUGGGGAUGGCAUCUAGAACAAGUUGUUCCAUCACUUUUCCAGUGACUGCCUCUGCACAGUCAGAAUUGAAGGAGAAUGGACUUCACCUUGACAAAGGCAGCUUGAAUCUACUGAUGCUGUGAAAGCUUCUAUUGCUAUGGUGAUACUACCUCAUAAAUGAACAUACCUGGAUGUUGCGUGUCGCAAACCCCAAACACAAGGAUCAGAUCCUCUGUUGAGAUAACUCCAUAAACUGCAGACAUCUUCUGGCUUCAUCGCCAUUACCACCAUUUAAUCCAGAAAAUCAGUGCCACAAUUAUUUUAAUUAGA